CUUCCGGACUCUACAUGUAAUAAUUUCUCCAUUACUAGGGUGGAUGGAAGGCUUAGGCGUUUGAUAAGGCAUCUGAAUUUUCACCCAAGAGAAAUGGUAAUAAUUAUGGCACUAAUGAGGUGGUCGUAGUCAGUCAGGAUCAGGAUAGUGAUGCACAAUAUUUGGUUUUUGUCAUAGUUCACAGCUUCGCAUAAUGACUAAUUCCUCCACAAUUACGAGGGAAUGUAUGGAUGAAAUUAAUCCUUUGGGUUCAAUGUAUGUUAAAAGAACGAUCAAAUUGGAGCACUGAGCUUUUGGUUAUUAUUCAUCACCAAAUUGGGCUGUGUAGCGCUGGCCAUGGAGUGAGAUAUAAAUAACAAGGGCCACAGGGUUAUUUACAGAAGAAGGAUUUUAUGCAUGGCCUUCUAGGGUUUUUCGCUCUCUCUUUCCUCAUAUAUAGAACAAUCGCAAGGACAAAAAUCUCUUAAGAAAUCCAGCUUGCUUAAGUAAUGAAUAUGAUGUAAAGUUCAAAGAUGGCGGUGGACGGCGAUCGGCGUGCAACGGUUGUGGCUGUGGUGAUUGGCGGAGGGUGGUGGCAGUGGCGGCGAUGACAAUGUGCAGGGUUGUUUGGCGGCGGAGGUGGCGGUCAAGCGAGCCUGCUUGUGGUGUAAAUAGUUUUCGCUCAAAAUUGAAAGAAAUUGAUUUACUUAAAAACCGAAUUAAAAUAAUUUAUAUUAUAUUUACUUUUCUUUGCAUUUCUUUUGCAUCCAAUCAAGCAUUUGAAAUUUCAAAAUCCAUUGCAUUUGUAAUCCUUUACACCAUUUUGUAUUUCAGCCAAACAGCCCCUUAACAUAAAGUCACAAUUUAGAUGCA